rnacentral:rRNA from 1 species
CCUACGGGAGGCAGCAGUGAGGAAUAUUGGUCACUGGGCGCGAGCCUGAACCAGCCAAGUCGCGUGAGGGAAGACGGCCCUACGGGUUGUAAACCUCUUUUGCCGGGGAGCAACGGGCGCCACGUGUGGCGCCACUGAGAGUACCCGGAGAAAAAGCCUCGGCUAACUCCGUGCCAGCAGCCGCGGUAAUACGGAGAAUGCGAGCGUUAUCCGGAUUUAUUGGGUUUAAAGGGUGCGUAGGCGGAGCGUUAAGUCCGUGGUCAACUGGAGGGGCUCAACCCCUUCCCGCCAUUGACAAUGGCGCUCUUGAGUGGAAGAGAAGUAUGCGGAAUGCGUGGUGUAGCGGUGAAAUGCAUAGAUAUCACGCAGAACCCCGAUUGCGAAGGCAGCAUGCCGGCUUCCUACUGACGCUGAAGCACGAAAGCGUGGGGAUCGAACAGGAUUAGAUACCCGUGUAGUC